rnacentral:lncRNA from 1 species
GGCUGCGCAACGCUGGAGGGCGAUGGGAGCUCCACACAGGUGGGACGAGCCUAGCAGUGAUGCUGCCGGGAGUUAAAGGAGGCCAGGAGCACCAGAAGCUGGAGGAGGCCGGGGUGGAUUCUCCCCUGGAGGCUUCAGUGGGAGCACGGGCUCCCGACACUUCGGUUCCAUCUCUUGUUUAAAGGCACCUAGUUUCUCGUCAUUUGUUACAGCACCCUGGAAAACCCACACACAAGUGAAUCCCCGACCCACCUCCCAAGUGCCCAUCUGAGCACCCCUCGUGGACUCUGAGCAGGGGGUGGCCACCAUCAACUCCAAGUCUUGCAGCCCCUCUUCCCUUCAGUCUGGCUGCCACCUUCUUCAUUGCCCUGGAAAAAAAUAAUGAAGUUUCACCAUUUAAAGGGUUUCAGUGCAGCUUGCUAUGGGAACACUGGAGAGUAACACAAAUGGCCAAUUGUCCUAAUAGCCACCAUGGAUUGGAUGGAUGCUAACAACAGGCGCAGAGUUCUCCAUCUGUUGCCUCCUUUUAUCCACAUGAGAAUAAAACAAUAUCUUCCAGGAAUCUAAAAAUGUGUGUGAGAUUUCACCAGUAAAAGCUGAGUUAUUCUGAAUCUGUGUUUUCCUGACGAUUUUUCUUUGUGUGGUCAGCCUUCUUGGAAAAAUCCAGAAGCCACCAUGAACUUACAACCUUGCAUGAAUAAAUGUAAUAUUUUGUUUGGA